rnacentral:lncRNA from 1 species
ACAGAAAUCAUACUUGAAUUCUAACCAAAUCCUAACAUAAUUCUUAAUAAAUUCUAAUAAAAUCUUAAAUCAAUCCAUACAAAAUCUUAAAUAAAAUUCUAAUAAAAUCCUAAAUCAAUUUUAAUCAAGCUCUAAAGAAAUCUUAGACCAAAAUCUUUCAAAUUCUAAUCAAAUCAUAAAUCCUAAUUCUAAUGAAAUCCUAAUGAAAUUCUAAAUCUUAGACUAAACUUAAUCAAAUCUUAAAUUAUAAAUUCAAUCCUAAUCAAAUUCUAAUAAAAUCUUAAUUUAAUCCUAAUCAAAAUUUAAUCAAAUCUUAGACCAAAUCCUAGAUCAAAUCCUAAUCAAAUCCUAAAUCCUAAUUCUAGACUAAAUCCUAAUUAAAUCCUAAAUCCUAAUCUUAGACUAAAUCCUAAUUAAAUCUUAAAUUCCAAUCUUAAACCAAAUCCUAAUAAAAUCCAAAAUCAUAAUUUUAAAUUAAAUCUUAGUGAAAUCUUAAAUCCUAGACCAAAUCUAAUCAAAUCCUAA